UAAUAGAUUACAAUUGGGGUCAGCGACAGAGACCAGGAGGAGUCGCUGUGCAACAGUAGUCAGUAAACCUCCCUCCCCAACAACUAAAAGGAUUCUCUGGC